GAAAAUCGGAGAAAAGAAGAGGCCGGAUAGGGAGUUCUCUUUUCCAACAAAAUCCAGCGACAUCCGUCGCCGGCAAUCGUGCCCACAGGCACGGGAAAGAAGGGAGAGAAGAGAGGAAGAGAAAGGAGACCUUACCACAACCUCCGGUGACCCCCACCGGCGUGAAAUCGCGGCGAGCACAGGUCAAGGAGUCGCGGCUUCAAACAGAAAAAUCGAAGAAAAACUCCGGC
rnacentral:lncRNA from 1 species